rnacentral:rRNA from 1 species
GUCGAGCGCGGGAAGCAAGUUGAUCCCUUCGGGGUGACGCUUGUGGAACGAGCGGCGGACGGGUGAGUAACACGUGGGCAACCUGCCUGUAAGAUUGGGAUAACUCCGGGAAACCGGGGCUAAUACCGAAUAACACUUUUACUCUCAUGAGUUUAAGUUGAAAGGCGGCUUUUUGCUGUUUUUUUUUCAUGGGGCCGUGGCGCAUUAGCUAGUUGGUAGGGUAAUGGCCUACCAAGGCGACGAUGCGUAACCGACCUGAGAGGGUGAUCGGCAACACUGAGACUGAGACACGGCCCAGACUCCUACAGAAGGCACCAAUACGGAAUCUUCCGCAAUGGACGAAAGUCUGACCGAUGAACGCCACGUGAACGAUGAAGGCUUUCGGGUCGUAAAGUUCUGUUGUUAGGGAAGAACAAUUACCGUUCAAAUAAGGCGGUACCUUGACGGUACCUAGCGAGGAAGCCCCGGCUAACUACGUGCCACCCGCCGCGGUAAUACCUAGGGGGCACGCGUUGUCCGGAAUUAUUGGGCGUAUAGCGCGCGCUUGCGGUUCCUUAACUCUGAUGUGAAAUCUCGGGGCUCAUCCGCGAGCGGUCGUUGCAAACUGGAGAACUUGAUUACAAAAGAGGAGAGUGAAAUUCCACGAGUAGAGGUG